rnacentral:rRNA from 1 species
UACAGAGGUCCCAAGCGUUGUUCGGAUUCAUUGGGCGUAAAGGGUGCGUAGGCGGCGCGGUAAGUCGGGUGUGAAAUCUCGGAGCUUAACUCCGAAACUGCAUUCGAUACUGCCGUGCUUGAGGACUGGAGAGGAGACUGGAAUUUACGGUGUAGCGGUGAAAUGCGUAGAUAUCGGAAGGAACAUCAGUGGCGAAAGCGACUUCCUGGACCAAUACUGACGCUCAUGUGCGAAAGCGUGGGGAGCAAACAGG